CGGCGACCAACCUCCGACAGACCUCACCUCAAAUAUAAAAAAAAUCAAAGUUAACCCCCCUUAAUUUUUCACAUAGAUUCCAAAUCUAACCUCAGUUUUUAAAAAUAAUCACUCACAUGGUCGGAUCGGCCUUCCAGAAAUCAAAAACCUAAUCUUACAAAAAUCAAACCUAACUCACCCAAUUUCGCUCGUCUCCCUCUUAUAAUCAAACAAUCGUACAUGAAAAAAACAAGAAAUCAUACACAAUACCCUUAAUAUCCAUAGAAAACCCUUAACCCCAUUUAUUUAUUUUUCGGUUACAGAUACAUAUGGGAAGGGGAAAUGCAAAUUGGAAGUGAUUACAAUAAUAUUAGAGAAAUUGAAAAACUACCAAGUUGAAGUUGGUAAUUGCUACUGUGACCGUGAGCUCUUCCAAGUAACCUAUUUUCUUCUUCCCUUUUCUUUUACUUGUUCUUUUUUCCCUCUUCUUAUUAACAUAUCAGUUAUUGUGUUAGUGACUGAGUUCAAACUUACUCAAGCUUCAAUGUGAAUCUUGAGGGGGAAAAUUGAUGAACUUUUAGGUGUGGGGUUGGUGCGUGAUUUUAGCAGAGUGUAGUUAGGAUUUAACUUGAUUAAUUUGGAUGUGUAGUACUACUAUUAUAUAAGGGUGUUAGUGAGAUUUGAGAGGGAAAAAUUGGUGAGUGAAAAUGAAAUUAGGGGGAAUUUUGUGAAUGAAUAUGUGUGCUCUCUAUGAUCAAUGGUUGGGAUGAUUUUGUUUGUGAAUUUGAAUUUGGUUUUGUUAAAACUUAAAUGAAAUGCAUAUGAAAUUUGGAUUUGGAUUGUUGUGAAAUGUGCAUGAGUUUUGUGUGAUUUAUGUGGUCCCAACUCCAUGUAUGGUAAUGUAUGUAUUCAUGUAUCAUGCAUCAUGUUGAUUUUUGCUUGUUGAUGAAUUUUUGUUCUUUCAUAUGGAAUGAUGGAUGGUGGAUGUUGGUAUUAAGGUGAUGGAGGGUGUUGCACAUGAAGGAGCAUGAGAGGGGCGUGGAACCUGCAAACUCAAAUCUAUUUUCUUUUUUAAUUUUUCUGUAUUAUUAUGUAAUGUUAUUAUUAUUAUUAUUAUGUAAAGUAGAUAAAACAAAUUUUUUUUGAAUUAUGUUCUAUUUAUUAUUCAUGUAUAAUGUAAUAAAAUAAUAAAAAAAACUUAGUUAAGUUCCAUUUUUUAGUUUAAAAAUCUCUUUUUAUUAUUUUAAUGAAGUGCAUCAAUGAACAUGGUAAAAAAAUGUAAAAUAAGACAAAUCCAUAAUCCUUUUCUUUUUGAUGCAAAAUAUGAUGAAAAGGUGACUAAGUGUAAAAAUAAAUAAAUAAUUAAAAAAAAUCUACUUUCUUUUUAUAUUUUUUAAUUUACUGUUAAAAAAAAUAAAACUAAA
rnacentral:lncRNA from 1 species